UUUGGUUUAGUACGUAGGCAUAACUCUACUAUGAGGGUUAUGAAUCGUGCAUGCCAUCUACGGUACGGUAGGUGGUAUCUUUAGAAGAUUUCAUUU
rfam:Drosophila sechellia strain Rob3c scaffold_54 genomic scaffold, whole genome shotgun sequence.